rnacentral:rRNA from 1 species
UACGGAGGGGACUAGCGUUGUCCGGAUUUAUUGGGCGUAAAGAGCGUGUAGGCGGCUAGAUAGGUCCGUUGUGAAAACUCGAGGCUCAACCUCGAGACGUCGAUGGAAACCAUCUGGCUAGAGUCCGGAAGAGGAGAGUGGAAUUCCUGGUGUAGCGGUGAAAUGCGCAGAUAUCAGGAAGAACACCCGUGGCGAAGGCGGCUCUCUGGUACGUGACUGACGCUGAGACGCGAAAGCGUGGGGAGCAAACAGG